AAGGAUGGCCUUUUAGCUAAGAUCAUGUGUAGUAUCUGUUCUUAUUAGUUUAAUAUAUGAUACGUCCCCUAUCUGGGGGCCAUAAAUUAAAUGGAUUUUUGGUAACAGGGGCCGUUUUCGAAGCUUGUUCCCAUGGCCCUACACAUUGAUCCAUAUGGCAGCAGUAUCUUCGGGUACAGUGCACAAAAA